UGGGGAAUAUUGCACAAUGGGGGGAACCCUGAUGCAGCGACGCCGCGUGGGUGAAGGAGCACCUCGGUGCGUAAAGCCCUAUCGGCAGGGAAGAAACAGACGGUACCUGACUAAGAAGCCCCGGCUAACUACGUGCCAGCAGCCGCGGUAAUACGUAGGGGGCAAGCGUUAUCCGGAUUCACUGGGUGUAAAGGGAGCGUAGACGGCGACGCAAGUCUGGAGUGAAAGCCCGGGGCCCAACCCCGGGACUGCUCUGGAAACUGCGUCGCUGGAGUACGGGAGGGGCAGGCGGAAUUCCUGGUGUAGCGGUGAAAUGCGUAGAUAUCAGGAGGAACACCGGCGGCGAAGGCGGCCUGCUGGACCGUGACUGACGUUGAGGCUCGAGAGCGUGGGGAGCAAACAGG
rnacentral:rRNA from 1 species